UACGUAGGGUGCGAGCGUUGUCCGGAAUUAUUGGGCGUAAAGAGCUCGUAGGCGGUCUGUCGCGUCGGAUGUGAAAACCCAGGGCUCAACCCUGGGCCUGCAUUCGAUACGGGCAGACUAGAGUUCGGUAGGGGAGACUGGAAUUCCUGGUGUAGCGGUGAAAUGCGCAGAUAUCAGGAGGAACACCGGUGGCGAAGGCGGGUCUCUAGGCCGAUACUGACGCUGAGGAGCGAAAGCGUGGGGAGCGAACAGG
rnacentral:rRNA from 1 species